AAGACCUUGCGCCUUUGGAGCGGCCGAUGCCUGAUUAGCUAGUUGGUGGGGUAAAAGCUUACCAAGGCAACGAUCAGUAGUUGGUCUGAGAGGACGGCCAGCCACACUGGGACUGAGACACGGCCCAGACUCCUACGGGAGGCAGCAGUGGGGAAUUUUGGACAAUGGGCGCAAGCCUGAUCCAGCAAUGCCGCGUGAGUGAAGAAGGCCUUCGGGUUGUAAAGCUCUUUCAGCCGGAACGAAACGGUUACGGAUAACACCCGUGACUACUGACGGUACCGGAAGAAGAAGCACCGGCUAACUACGUGCCAGCAGCCGCGGUAAUACGUAGGGUGCGAGCGUUAAUCGGAAUUACUGGGCGUAAAGCGUGCGCAGGUGGUUUUGUAAGUCAGAUGUGAAAGCCCCGGGCUCAACCUGGGAACU
rnacentral:rRNA from 1 species